UGCCAGCCGCCGCGGUAAUACGGAGGGAUCGAACGUUAAUCGGAAUUACUGGGCGUAAAGCGCGCGUAGGCGGUUUGAUAAGUGGGAUGUGAAAGCCCCGGGCUUAACCUGGGAAUUGCAUUCCAAACUGUCAAACUAGAGUGUGGUAGAGGGAGGUAGAAUUUCCUGUGUAGCGGUGAAAUGCGUAGAUAUAGGAAGGAAUACCGAUGGCGAAGGCAGCCUCCUGGACCAACACUGACGCUGAGGCGCGAAAGCGUAGGGAGCAAACAGGAUUAGAUA
rnacentral:rRNA from 1 species